AGUGUCAAGUAUUGUAAAAGAAAAUAGAAUUUUUUUGUUUUCGACAAUAUUUUUAUUUUCUAUUAGUGAGGUAAUACAUUUUAUUGAAAAUGAACAACAUUAGUCCAACAACAGGUAGGCCUGAAUAGCUUACUCACUGUAGUGUUGUUGAUUUUCUUGUACUUUGCUUUGUGCAUGAUAAAAAAUGUUUUAAUUUGCAAUAAUCACGCCUAUCCAACGCAAAAUAAUAUUUGCUUAAUAUGAUAAUAUAAAUUAAUCAUUACUAAGGAACCGAUAGGUUAGCACAUGACGUGUCAGUAGGGUCAAAGAAUUUUUCUAUUGCGGAAAUAUAUUUGUAAUAGUAACAAAAUUACCAUAAACAAAAACGAACAUUCAUGUAAAUUGUCAUGAAUUUUUCAACGUUAGAAUUAUCUGGAAUAAUUAUUAAAAUUUUAUGUUCUUGUUUAUUUUUUAUUCGUAGUGUCUAAUGAACCGACAAAGAUAGGUCAGUAACAAACGUAAUGCUGAAUAUUUACAAUAGACUUUCUCAUUUCUUUUAUGGAUGAUCUAAUUUAUUUACGAAAUAUCUUAUCGUUGAGUUUCAUUUGAUUUAUAAUUAUUAAAUGGUGUAAUAAAAUAUUUAUGAAUAUGAUAGUGUCAGCAUAUUUAUUUAGGUAAGUUGCUCCCGUAGUAAAUUAUAAUAUUAACUAAAAACUUCCUGAUACAUUUAAUUACGCAUAUUAAUGAGUAAAAAUAAAAUGCUUCCAUUUUUUUGUUUUAGAGUUUUAAUUAUGAACGCUUAUUUUGCUUUGUUUAUUGAUAGUUGUUAGUAUUACAUACUUUUUAAUUUAUACAAAUUAUCUUCAAUCAUUUGAAUAAGAGAAAGAUUUAUAUAAAAUAUCAACGAUUUCGCUAAUGCCAUACAUAUAACUGUUUAGCUCAUACGUUAAAAAAAUUUCUAUUUUCGUUUUAGUAACUGAUUCAAUAUUUUAUUCCAUUCUGUUCCCUAUAAUGUUUUUUAAAAAAUAUAAAAUCCAGUAACACAGUAUUUGUACUAAAUGUCUAAACAGAUGAAUAUUCCGUCGUAUGGUAGGGUAGACACUAUCAGCUUGUGUGUAGUGCUGGUCGUCAAGGUAUUGGCGUAAAUUAUAAAAUAGUGAAAGUAACAUUCCAAACAAACAACGGUAUAGCUUUCUAUCCGCGUAAGCAUUUUAGUUCUUAUGUAUACUCAGUUAUUUUUCCUUAAAAUGUUUGACACGACAGUUGAAACAUGCAUAGUGAUGAUGAUCAAAAUUUAGAAUAUAUUGAAGAUCCUUACUUUAAUCCCCAAUAUUCGAGUGCUACUCCAAGUUUAGAUGAACCAGACUUGGAUGAAUACGAUUUAUUAGAAAACGAAUUAGAUUUGUUUGAUCUGCGUCAGUUGGAUUUUGAUGAGGUUAACCACAGCAGUUUGUAUUCGUUUCAAGAAGAAUCUGAAUCGGUUAAUGUCGAAGCUGAAUUUUUUAAUGUGAAACGAGCGAAUUCGAUUGUUAGGGCUUUUUUUAGAAACAAACUUAAAAAACAAGUGCGUGUAACAUAUUGUGAUCUUACUAAACCUUAUUUAGCCAAAUUACCAAAAGACAGUAAUUUUAAAAAAUACUUAGAUAUUAGUACUAACGAAGAAGCUAUGGCCGUGUCGGAGCACCCGAUCCCCGAUCUUUCACACCUUUCUAGCGAAGAAAAGGAAGAACAAGAACGACUUUGGAGAGAAGAAUUGGCCACAGUUGAAGACGAAAUUUCUACGCUGAGAACAGUACUGGCAUCAAAAAUGCGUCGUAGCGCCGAAUUGAAAAGGAAUUUAGGUAUCACUGUAUGGAAAGAAGUUUCUGAUGACAUCAACCAAGGCAUUAAGAAUGUAAAAGAAAGUAAUGUAUACCAAACUGUAGAAACUAAAGUUGGUCAAGUAACAAAAGCUGUAACAGAUGCUCCGAUUUAUCAAAAAACUUCAUCAGUUAUAGGAGGUAUAGCUGGAAAUAUCACUAAUAAAUUAGGACAAAUGCGACAUUCCGAAUCUUUUAAAUCUUUUGAAGAAAAAGUAGGAUCUGCAUACGAGAACGUUAAGACUAAAGUCGUAUCUCGUUCCGGUUCCAAUCACAGCAUAGACGAAGCUGGUAGAUCUCGUUCAGGGUCAUCAGUUGCUAGUCCAACAAUUCCCGAAGACAAACCAUUGGCGUAGGACGUUAAAAUCACUUCUUAUAUUAUUUAAUAUUAUUGAUAAUACGCCAGCCGGAAAUGCCUUUAUAAAGCUUGUCCAUAAAAAUAUUAGUGCUAUUUUAUUUAUAUAAAAAUGAUUUUAUUUUACUAAUAUUUCAGUAGAAGGGGCGAGAUGGUAUGUGAAAAUAAAAUUAUUAUAUUGGCCUGUAUUUUUUUCAAUUUUUAACACAUAUUCUAAUUUUGUAGUUGAAAUUAUUUUUUCUUCUAUUAGAUAUAAUAAAUAUUAGUUUUUGUUAUUUUCUGGACGUCCCUCGUAGUUUUAACUAAAAGUAUAUAAUUAGAAUAAAAAUUUAAAGAAAAUCGAGUCUAUAUACAACUUUUUACUUAUCAUUUGAAAGUUGAUCAACAAAAUCCACUGCACUUUGCAACCCCAUUGAAUGUAAGCAAAUUCAACUAUUCAUAUAGUUCUACCCAAAAAUAAAAUUAAAAUUUUUAUACCGUUAAUGACUUUCACCAGCCUCAAUGACAAAUUUCCUGAAAAUGGGCUAGUUCCAAACAAGUAACAAAAUUAUUAUCAUUUGAAUAAUAUGAACUUCUUCAUUUACCGGCGCUACGGUUCUUUAAGAACCAGAGAAUCCUCAACAAUCGACUGCCAAUUCUUUCUGUCCUGAGCAUAGUGCCUCCUGGUUAGAUCCGCCUCAACGUCCUUUAACCGACGACCUUUCAGUCUCCGUCCUCCAGGAACUCCAUACAUGGCUCUACACGGGUAUCGAUCAAAAGGCUCCAAUCUCUACAUCAGAUGCGCGAAUAAACGCCAUCAACUCUAGCUCGCCUUAUAUCUGUCUCAGCUCAACAUUCCCCCGAAUCCUCCACGCACCAUUCUCGCAAAAAGGGCCAAACAUCUUUCAUAGAAUCUUAUGUUCCCGACAGUUCACUUGUCGUCAUAGUCCAUGUCUCGCAUCCGUAUGUAGCUACGGGAUGGAUUAUUGUGUUGUAAAUAGUGAGCUUUGACCUGGCUGAACUGACUCUAGACCCAGUACAAGCAGUACAGUGAACUAGGCGAACUAGUUCUAUAGCACUGAUACUAAGCACAGCGCUGGUUCUGCUACAAAGAACGCUUUGGUGUACACUUCUAUUAAUGCCAAGAACAAAUCUAUUUAUUUAUCGAGUUCGAUGACUGGUGAUUGUAGUAUGAUUUACAAAUCAUAGAUAACCUUUUUGUACAGAGUGGCUUUCGCCUAGUGUCAUUUUCACAACAGAAAAGCAACAUUUCAUAAUAAUUCUAAUCGUGUUUGUAUUGUACAUUCCUCCAUUAUAUUUUUCAUAAUCUCCUUGGAUUUUUAUUAUUUAUCUAAUAUUUAGUUAAAUUAGAAAAAUGACCUGUUGUAAUGUUGAUAACAUUUGUAACAAUUCUCUCCUCUGUCCACAGCUAUUUUAGUUAAAUUGAAAUAGUUUAUAGUAUAAAUAAAAUAACAUAAUGUGAUUUUAUAAAAAUAUUUAUUACCUAACAUUCUUAAAGUACAGUUUCCAAUAGAAACAAACAACUUUUACGGCAUGUCUUCCUCAUUAUUUCUGUAAAUAAUAAAUUUAAAUUAUCUGUUUUAUAAAUAAAUAACAAGAUCAAAACAAAAAGAUAAAGAAACCAUCACCUCACUACGCUGCCUACAUAAAGACAAAACCAUAGCUUUUUAAGACACUUGAGAAAGCAACUCACAAUUAGACAAUUCAAAGCUUGCAUAAAAAUAGAAUAAUUUAUAGUAAUAACAAUUUUUUUUCUAUAUUUGAUUUAGUUAAAAAGAAACCCAUGUGCCGAAGAUAUAACAUUUUAGUUUCUGCAAGACAAAAUUACAGUUUAUAUUAAUUUGGUGUCAUUUUUAAUUGCAGUUGUAGACAUUAGUUUUGUUCGAGGAUCAAAUUUAGAAUCGAUUCCGAAUCAGUUUAAGAUCACUGUAAUGCGCAUGCUCCAUUACGAACAAAUAAAGAAUGUUCAUUUACUGCGAACGAUAAACCACUGAACUAAAAUUUUUAUCCCCUAAUAAAAACUAUAGAACUGCUAUGAGUGAUUCGAAGUCGAUUGACUCGCGAAAACGAAAUUUUUACUAAAAAUUCAGAACAGAAUCGUUUCUUAAAUUGCUUCAGAAUCAAUCACGCGAACAAAGCUAUAGUUACUUUUAAGGUUUGUUCUUGGUAGCCGUACUGAACUGGAUCAGUUCAUGAGUGUAUAGAAUUAUUUCGAUUGGAUACAAAGAACGAUAUAGUGCAGAGAGCAAUGGAGCAUUCGUUGUAUUUGAUUCAGGCCUUAUAGUAUUAACAAUAAUAGAAAACGCUUUAGUACUUUUAGCUAGUUCUCUUGCACUGCUACUAAGAACAGCGACACUAGCGCUGGUUCUGCAGCAAAGAACACUUCUUGAACUAGUUCUGCCCGUGCAGCUAUCAAGAACAAACCUAUAGUUUUAUAACUAAACAAAUGUCAAAAAGGUCAGCUGAUUGGAGCGAAGACCAAGAAAGUGAUUUGCAGAUUGUUGCUUUGAAAAGCGGAGUGCUUCUGGAGGUAGUACAACAAGAUGUUUUUGUUUCCAAUUUAUUUGAUUUUGCUUGUACACAUUUACUAAAAUAUCUCGUUUUAUGUUAUUAUGGGGAAAUCACCAAACUCGUAAAAAAAUAAAAAUGAGCUUAUCAAAAAAUACCUUGACGCCCAUUGCAUUGAUAAGAUUUCAAGUAGGUACACGAAUUUGUAAAUUUCAAGUGUUCUUGAUAAAUAUUUUAGAAAAAAUAAUGACAAGAUAGGGGAAGAACAUAUAAACUGAUAUCUAUAAAAAAUAAAACCAUCAUUUAAGCAACAACAGUAGAGAAACAUACCAAUCAAUUAUCGAAUGUAGUAAUCGACAAGGCUUCAAGAUAGAAAUCAAUGUUUGAAUUAUCAGCUGAGCUUCAUCUAAGCAUUAUUUAAACAAAAUAGCUUUUAUAACAAGAAAUAGAAGAAAACUUGAAAAAACAAAUAAUAGUAGCAAAAGAGGUAGGUCUGCACAAUAAUGACAAUAUAAAGUUCUUUGGAGCAAAAAAGUGUGUACUGGGCUUCAGUUUUGUUUGCGCAUCACGAUUAGAAUUGUUUCUAAACCAACUCAGAUCGCGUUUGUUUAGGAAUCAAGUCAUGGUUUUAUAUGACUCGAUUAUAGAACCACAAAAGGUUAAGUACUACGUAUGAGCAAUUCAAUCAAAUAAUCAGACCCUCACUGAUUCGAAAUCUGAUGCUCGAACAAAGCUAAUACAUAAGAAUAUUUUUCACAGAAUCAAGCAACAUUUUCCAGUUUAUUCCUUGUGGUUUUCUUGCAACCUGGUAGUCGCUUUCAUCAGCCAAAUGGCCCACGAUAGGGAAUAAUGCACACAGGAAACAUACCGAACAAAUCCUAUAUCAGGACGACGGAAAAUUAAUCAAAUCCAACAUUGAAUUUAAUAUUGUUUGCUAAUAAAACGUAAAGAAACUCAUAGUAUUGUUCAAAUUUAGUGGAAUAAUAAAAAAUAAAGUUUGAGUUUGAUUUAUCGGAAUGUGAAAAUAUUAAAAUAGAUUAGAUAAAUACCAGAGCCGCACUGGCUCAGAUGCUGUUCAUGAAAUUAGAUUCAUAUAAUACAUAAAAUAUGUAAUUUUGUUUACAUUGACGAGUACUGCAAAGAAAAUUUCAGUUGUUUUGGCAUAGUUUAACCAAGUUACGAGGUACGUAAGAAAUUAUCUUCCAAUUCUAAUACACACUAAUUGCACCGUCAAAAGUAAUUUGUACGGAAUUAAAACUCGUACUGACGAAGCAAUAAAUCGGUCAAGCUUCCGGUAAAUACAACGUUGCCAGAUCUUCCGAGGUGUCGCCAGUCUCAAUAAUUUUCUCGCACAAAUAUUGUGAGUAUUUGUAACAGAAAAUCAGAAUUACAAACCAAACUUCAUAGGAUCGUUUGAAGCAUAAUAAAAAGUUUCUGCAAGAAUUAUUGCGGAUUUCUAUGAGAUUUAUUUCAUAAAAAUGUUUUUUUUUGGAACUUGAUUCACGAUUUUUUUUGUGACUUGAAUAUUUUUACUGGUUUUUUUGCUAAUAAAAGAAAAAAUUGAACUAUAA